GUAGGGAAUAUUGGACAAUGGGGGGAACCCUGAUCCAGCCAUGCCGCGUGGAGGAAGACUGCCCUCUGGGUUGUAAACUCCUUUUAUAUGGGAAGAACCGUCCUCAUUAAUGAGUGACCUGACGGUACCAUAGGAAUAAGCACCGGCUAACUCCGUGCCAGCAGCCGCGGUAAUACGGAGGGUGCAAGCGUUAUCCGGAUUCACUGGGUUUAAAGGGUGCGUAGGCGGAUAAAUAAGUCAGUGGUGAAAUCAACGGGCUCAACCUGUUAACUGCCAUUGAUACUGUGUAUCUUGAAUAUGAGAGAGGUAGGCGGAAUGUUGCAUGUAGCGGUGAAAUGCUUAGAUAUGCUACGGAACACCGAUUGCGAAGGCAGCUUGCUGAACCAUUAUUGACGCUGAGGCACGAAAGCGUGGGGAGCGAACAGGAUUAGAAACCCGAGUAGUCC
rnacentral:rRNA from 1 species